UGGGGAAUCUUGCGCAAUGGACGAAAGUCUGACGCAGCGACGCCGCGUGGGUGAUGAAGGCCUUCGGGUUGUAAAGCCCUGUGGGGAGGGACGAAUAAGUCAUACCUAAUACGUAUGGCGAUGACGGUACCUCCUUAGCAAGCACCGGCUAACUCUGUGCCAGCAGCCGCGGUAAGACAGAGGGUGCAAACGUUGUUCGGAAUUACUGGGCGUAAAGCGCGUGUAGGCGGCAAUGCAAGUCGGAUGUGAAAGCCCUCGGCUCAACCGAGGAAGUGCAUUCGAAACUGCAUAGCUAGAGUCCCGGAGAGGAUGGUGGAAUUCUCGGUGUAGAGGUGAAAUUCGUAGAUAUCGAGAGGAACACCGGUGGCGAAGGCGGCCAUCUGGACGGUGACUGACGCUGAGACGCGAAAGCGUGGGGAGCAAACAGGAUUAGAUACCCCCGUAGUCC
rnacentral:rRNA from 1 species